GGGCAAGAUGGCGGCCGCGGCGGUGCGGCCCGUGACCUGGACCACUGGGCUGGGACCCACGACCCCACCACCACGCCUGGAGGACGCGCAGCGGCGCCCCGGCCUUGGAAGGGGAGUUUCCCAGCGCGAGCCCCGCCCUUCCCCGCCCGGGAGGCGCCUCGGGGCGGGGUCACUGGCCGGGAGGCCCCGCCUUCCGCCCGAAAGCGCCGGUGCACCCCGCAGGCCCUGCCCGUGGGUCCACAGGCCGGAUCCCCGGGUUCCUAGGCUGGGACUGCUUCUCAGAACCACUCUGUCGUUUUUAAGCAGGGUCACACACUCUAGCUCACUGGGUCCAUUUUAAUUUCUAUUAAACAUUUUUUUUUUUUUUGCAAAUGAUGUAGCAGGAGAUCCAAGGUGUUUGGUUAAUGAUUUAUUCACUCAUUAGUCAUUCCACAAACUUGUCUUGAGCACCUGUUAUGUACCCAGCACUGUGCUGGAAUGCUGAGGAGACAGGAGUGAAGGAAAAAGACAUGGUUCCGGCAGGAAACAGGCAAGGAGAGCCUUGACUUGGUAGGGCUAACACAGCGCUACACAGGAGGGACGCCCGCUCGGUGUCGGGGGUCAGCAAAGCUUCCUUAAGGACCACUAGGUUGAGACAAGAAGGAUGAGUAUGGGAUUAGCCAGGAAAGGGAAAAGGGCAGUGGGAACUGGAAGAGAAGAGCCUUCUAGGACUGGGAAAGAGCAAGUGCUGGGUCAGGAAAGAGGACAUAGCAGUGAGGAGGCAGUAGGUAUGGAUGAAUGAGCAGAGGAAGUGGGGAGAGAUUAAGGUGCUUUCAGAAACGGGUUGGAAAUCAGUUUAGUGAGUUUGGAUGGCAUUUACCUGAAGGCAAUGUUAGAGUCAUCGAAAGUUUUUAAUCAGGCAAGUGGUAUGAUCAGUUUUUUGUUUUGUUUUGUUUUGUUUUGAGACGGAGUCUGGCUAUAUCGCCAGGCUGGAAUGCAAUGGCGCGAUCUCUCCUCACUGCAACCUCCACCUCCCGGGUUCAAGCGAUUCUCCUGCCUCAGCACCUCGAGUAGCUGGGACUACAGGCGCGCGCCACCACGCCCAGAUGAGAAAACUGAGGCACAGAGAGGUGAAAUAAGGCCCCCAGAAUGCUCUUCUCCAAGACUUAGAAAAAUCAAAUGCUAUCCAUCCCUCAAGAUACAUCCCUCCAGCCCCUCCUUGAAGUCUCCUGCAGCUAGAAGUAGAAGUAGUAUCUAUCCCCAUCUGGACCCCUUAGCACUUUGCUGUACCUCCCUUAGUCCCCAUCUCUUUACACACACAAACACACACACACACACACACACACACACACAGAGUAUUAUAAUACUAUUACCUAUUAUAUUACAUUAUAUUAUUGUAGUUCUACAGGAACUACAAGGAAUUCUACUGUGAAUUCCUUAAGGGUGGGAUACAUUUUACAAUCAUCACUGUUUCUCUCAUUAGUUGUGGAAUCAAAAAAAUGAGUGCACGAUGAAAAAUUAUUCAAACACAUACAUGCUUUCAUUCCAAUUGAAAAUUAAAAAAUAUUACUGUUAAAACAAUAUUGAAGGACAUGUAAUACAAUUCAAA
rnacentral:lncRNA from 1 species